rnacentral:miRNA from 1 species
CUCCAAAUAUUUUACCAUUUUAUUAGGUUGGUGCAAAAGUAAUUGCGGUUUUUACCCUUGAAAGUAAUGGCAAACACUGCAAUUAUUUUUGUACCAAUCUAAUAGAUUU